UACGUAGGGUGCAAGCGUUAAUCGGAAUUACUGGGCGUAAAGCGUGCGCAGGCGGUUUUGUAAGUCUGACGUGAAAUCCCCGGGCUCAACCUGGGAAUUGCGAUGGAGACUGCAAGGCUAGAAUCUGGCAGAGGGGGGUAGAAUUCCACGUGUAGCAGUGAAAUGCGUAGAGGUGUGGAGGAACACCGAUGGCGAAGGCAGCCCCCUGGGUCAAGAUUGACGCUCAUGCACGAAAGCGUGGGGAGCAAACAGG
rnacentral:rRNA from 1 species